UGGGGAAUCUUCCGCAAUGGACGAAAGUCUGACGGAGCAACGCCGCGUGAGUGAAGACGGCCUUCGGGUUGUAAAGCUCUGUGAUUCGGGACGAAAGGCCAUAUGUGAAUAAUAUAUGGAAAUGACGGUACCGAAAAAGCAAGCCACGGCUAACUACGUGCCAGCAGCCGCGGUAAUACGUAGGGGGCUAGCGUUGUCCGGAAUCACUGGGCGUAAAGGGUUCGCAGGCGGAAAUGCAAGUCAGGUGUAAAAGGCAGUAGCUUAACUACUGUAAGCAUUUGAAACUGCAUAUCUUGAGAAGAGUAGAGGUAAGUGGAAUUUUUAGUGUAGCGGUGAAAUGCGUAGAUAUUAAAAAGAAUACCGGUGGCGAAGGCGACUUACUGGGCUCAUUCUGACGCUGAGGAACGAAAGCGUGGGUAGCAAACAGG
rnacentral:rRNA from 1 species